UACGUAGGGGGCAAGCGUUGUCCGGAUUUAUUGGGCGUAAAGAGCGUGUAGGCGGCCAUUCAGGUCAGCUGUGAAAACUCGAGGCUCAACCUCGAGACGUCGGUUGAAACCGUUUGGCUAGAGUCCGGAAGAGGAGAGUGGAAUUCCCGGUGUAGCGGUGAAAUGCGCAGAUAUCGGGAAGAACACCCGUGGCGAAGGCGGCUCUCUGGGACGGUACUGACGCUGAGACGCGAAAGCGUGGGGAGCGAACGAGGA
rnacentral:rRNA from 1 species